rnacentral:rRNA from 1 species
AGUGAACGCUGGCGGUAGGCCUAACACAUGCAAGUCGAACGGCAGCGCAGUAAGAGCUUGCUCUUACGGGUGGCGAGUGGCGGACGGGUGAGGAAUACAUCGGAAUCUACUUUUUCGUGGGGGAUAACGUAGGGAAACUUACGCUAAUACCGCAUACGACCUACGGGUGAAAGCAGGGGAUCUUCGGACCUUGCGCGAUUGAAUGAGCCGAUGUCGGAUUAGCUAGUUGGCGGGGUAAAGGCCCACCAAGGCGACGAUCCGUAGCUGGUCUGAGAGGAUGAUCAGCCACACUGGAACUGAGACACGGUCCAGACUCCUACGGGAGGCAGCAGUGGGGAAUAUUGGACAAUGGGCGCAAGCCUGAUCCAGCCAUACCGCGUGGGUGAAGAGGGCCUUCGGGUUGUAAAGCCCUUUUGUUGGGAAAGAAAAGCAGCAGGUUAAUACCCCGCUGUUCUGACGGUACCCAAAGAAUAAGCACCGGCUAACUUCGUG